rnacentral:rRNA from 1 species
UACAGAGGUCUCAACCGUUGUUCGGAUUCAUUGGGCGUAAAGGGUGCGUAGGCGGUCGUGCAAGUCGGAUGUGAAAUCUCAGGGCUCAACCCUGAAACUGCAUUCGAUACUGCGUGGCUAGAGUGCUGGAGAGGAGACUGGAAUUUACGGUGUAGCAGUGAAAUGCGUAGAUAUUGGGAAGAACACCGGUGGCGAAGGCGGCGACCUGGUCCGAUACUGACGCUGAGGCGCGAAAGCGUGGGGAGCAAACAGG